rnacentral:lncRNA from 1 species
ACAGAAUGGUCGCACGUGUGCUAUUAACCUUUUAAAAUAAAUUUUUGAUUAUUUUUAUAAAAGAAGGAAAAAGGUUUUUAGCACAAGGCCGACAGAAUGGUCGCACGUGUGCUAUUAACCUUUUAAAAUAAAUUUUUGAUUAUUUUUAUAAAAGAAGGAAAAAAGUUUUUAGUACAAGACCGACAGAAUGGUCGCACGUGUGCUAUUAACCUUUUAAAAUAAAUUUUUGAUUAUUUUUAUAGAAGAAGGAAAAAGGUUUUUAGCACAAGGCCGACAAAAUGGUCGCACAUGUGCUAUUAACCUUUUAAAAUAAAUUUUGAUUAUUUUUAUAAAAGAAGGAAAAAGGUUUUUAACACAAGGCCGACAGAAUGGUCGCACGUGUGCCAUUAAUCUUUUAAAAUAUAUUUUUUCAUUGUUUUUGAAAGAAAAAGAAAAAGGUUUUCAGCACAAGGCCAACAGAAUGGUCGAGCGUGUUCUAAAACCUUUUAAAAUAAAUUUUUAUUGAUUUUUAUUUUUGUAAAAGAAAAGGAAAAGAUUUUUAGCUCAAGGCCUACACGAACGGUCACACGUGUGCUUAAACCUUUUCAAAAUAUUUUUUUAUUAAUUUUAAUUUUUAUGAUUUUUAAAUUUUAUUUUUAUUAGCAAACAAUAAUAAAAUAAAUUCUAAAGCUAAAGAAAUAAAAGAAAAGACAAUAAAAUGAAAACAAAAAGUCCAAUAAGAAUGGGAAAGGAAAUGUAACCAGGAAAUUGAUCUCCACCCUUCUGAAGCUGCCUUAAAGGUCCUCCACUGCACCACAAAAAGCUUCUACAUAAAGUUGUUCAUUCAUCUGUGCACGUGCCUCUUUNAUCUCCACCCUUCUGAAGCUGCCUUAAAGGUCCUCCACUGCACCACAAAAAGCUUCUACAUAAAGUUGUUCAUUCAUCUGUGCACGUGCCUCUUUGUCCCACGCCUUUUUUACUUUAUUC